GCUUCUUUAUAAGAACAACUCACCAGGAUUAUCUGAAAUCAUAUAACAAAGUAUCUUCAACUUGGCAAUGGAGGAACAAAGAUGAGGUGGGCCAAAAAAAGAGAAUUUACUACCACUCAGGAUUGAGUGACUCUACUGAGGAUGUUGUGAGCUACUGAAUGGACAAAACCUGCAUGGAAUUAAAGGCCAAGCAUCCCAAAUUUCCUCAAACACUGCGGAGAAACGUGUAUCCAAGGAGUAAGAGACUUAAGACAGAAUGAGUUGGGGUUUGUUUAAAUCACCACUAUAUUCCUGAG
rnacentral:lncRNA from 1 species